rnacentral:rRNA from 1 species
GUGGGGAAUAUUGGACAAUGGGCGAAAGCCUGAUCCAGCCAUGCCGCGUGAGUGAUGAAGGCCUUAGGGUUGUAAAGCUCUUUUGUCCGGGAAGAUAAUGACUGUACCGGAAGAAUAAGCCCCGGCUAACUUCGUGCCAGCAGCCGCGGUAAUACGAAGGGGGCUAGCGUUGCUCGGAAUCACUGGGCGUAAAGGGCGCGUAGGCGGACUUUUAAGUCGGAGGUGAAAGCCCAGGGCUCAACCCUGGAAUUGCCUUCGAUACUGGGAGUCUUGAGUUCGGAAGAGGUUGGUGGAACUGCGAGUGUAGAGGUGAAAUUCGUAGAUAUUCGCAAGAACACCGGUGGCGAAGGCGGCCAACUGGUCCGAAACUGACGCUGAGGCGCGAAAGCGUGGGGAGCAAACAGGAUUAGAUACCCUUGUAGUCC